AUUGAACGCUGGCGGCAUGCUUUACACAUGCAAGUCGAACGGUAACAGGGUGCUUGCACCGCUGACGAGUGGCGAACGGGUGAGUAAUGCGUCGGAACGUGCCGAGUAGUGGGGGAUAACGCAGCGAAAGUUGUGCUAAUACCGCAUACGUACUGAGGUAGAAAGUGGGGGACCUUCGGGCCUCACGCUAUUCGAGCGGCCGACGUCGGAUUAGCUAGUAGGCGGGGUAAAGGCUCACCCAGGCGACGAUCAGUAGCGGGUCUGAGAGGAUGAUCGUCCACACUGGGACUGAGACACGGCCCAGACUCCUACGGGAGGCAGCAGUGGGGAAUUUUGGACAAUGGGCGAAAGCCUGAUCCAGCCAUGCCGCGUGUCUGAAGAAGGCCUUCGGGUUGUAAAGGACUUUUGUCAGGGAGGAAAUCCCUAGUGCUAAUAACACUGGGGGAUGACAGUACCUGAAGAGUAAGCACCGGCUAACUACGUGCCAGCAGCCGCGGUAA
rnacentral:rRNA from 1 species